UACGGGAGGCAGCAGUGGGGAAUAUUGGACAAUGGGCGCAAGCCUGAUCCAGCCAUGCCGCGUGUGUGAAGAAGGCUUAUGGUGUAAAGCACUUAAGCGAGGAGGAGGCUACUUUAGUUAAUACCUAGAGAUAGUGGACGUUACUCGCAGAAUAAGCACCGGCUAACUCUGUGCCAGCAGCCGCGGUAAUACAGAGGGUGCAAGCGUUAAUCGGAUUUACUGGGCGUAAAGCGCGCGUAGGCGGCUAAUUAAGUCAAAUGUGAAAUCCCCGAGCUUAACUUGGGAAUUGCAUUCGAUACUGGUUAGCUAGAGUGUGGGAGAGGAUGGUAGAAUUCCAGGUGUAGCGGUGAAAUGCGUAGAGAUCUGGAGGAAUACCGAUGGCGAAGGCAGCCAUCUGGCCUAACACUGACGCUGAGGUGCGAAAGCAUGGGGAGCAAACAGGAUUAGAUACCCUGGUAGUCCAUGCCGUAAACGAUGUCUACUAGCCGUUGGGGCCUUUGAGGCUUUAGUGGCGCAGCUAACGCGAUAAGUAGACCGCCUGGGGAGUACGGUCGCAAGACUAAAACUCAAAUGAAUUGACGGGGGCCCGCACAAGCGGUGGAGCAUGUGGUUUAAUUCGAUGCAACGCGAAGAACCUUACCUGGCCUUGACAUAGUAAGAACUUUCCAGAGAUGGAUUGGUGCCUUCGGGAACUUACAUACAGGUGCUGCAUGGCUGUCGUCAGCUCGUGUCGUGAGAUGUUGGGUUAAGUCCCGCAACGAGCGCAACCCUUUUCCUUAUUUGCCAGCGAGUAAUGUCGGGAACUUUAAGGAUACUGCCAGUGACAAACUGGAGGAAGGCGGGGACGACGUCAAGUCAUCAUGGCCCUUACGGCCAGGGCUACACACGUGCUACAAUGGUCGGUACAAAGGGUUGCUACCUAGCGAUAGGAUGCUAAUCUCAAAAAGCCGAUCGUAGUCCGGAUUGGAGUCUGCAACUCGACUCCAUGAAGUCGGAAUCGCUAGUAAUCGCGGAUCAGAAUGCCGCGGUGAAUACGUUCCCGGGCCUUGUACACACCGCCCGUCACACCAUGGGAGUUUGUUGCACCAGAAGUAGCUAGCCUAACUGCAAAGAGGGCGGUUACCAUGGUGGUCCCAA
rnacentral:rRNA from 1 species